CCAAUAGCGUAUAUUAAAGUUGUUGCAGUUAAAAAGCUCGUAGUUGAAUUUUAGGCCUGGCCGGGCGGUCCGUCUUUGGCGAGUACUGUCCUGUGUCGGGUCCACCUUCUGGUGAACCAGUAUGUCCUUUAUUGGGUGUGCCGGGGAGCCAGGACCAUUACCUUGAAAAAAUUAGAGUGUUUAAAGCAGGCAUUUGCUUGAAUAGAUUAGCAUGGAAUAAUAGAAUAGGACGUUGUGGUUCUAUUUUGUUGGUUUCUAGGACCACCGUAAUGAUUAAUAGGGAUAGUUGGGGGCAUUAGUAUUCAAUUGUCAGAGGUGAAAUUCUUGGAUUUAUUGAAGACUAACUAUUGCGAAAGCAUUUGCCAAGGAUGUUUUCAUUAAUCAAGAACGAAAGUUAGGGGAUCGAAGACGAUCAGAUACCGUCGUAGUCUUAACCAUAAACUAUGCCGACUAGGGAUCGGACGAUGUUAAAUUUUAUUGACUCGUUCGGCGCCUUACG
rnacentral:rRNA from 1 species